rnacentral:rRNA from 1 species
UCGCAGACGGCAUUGCAGAGGUGAACCUGCGGAAGGACAUUA